GUCAAACUCACCUCUUUUAAAAAUGAAAGAGGUUUCAACGCUAUAGAUUCUAGAGAAAACCUACACAUCAAAUGCUCUAAUGUUUUGUAAGUGGAGAAACACAUGUUACAUUACAGAACAAGCUGGGAGGCUGGUAAUAAUGUAAGAUAUGACAAAAGAUGUAAGAAAGUAGAUAUAUCACUCCUUGUCUUCAAUGACUCUAUAUCAGCUUGUGAGAUAUUGCAAAAAGACACAAAUAUCACACGACUUGUAUGUAAAGCAGUCUGUAAUCAAUCUGGUUCUUUAACAUAAUUAGUCAGUAGUAAAGUGCAG